UACGGGGGGAGCAAGCGUUGUUCGGAUUUACUGGGCGUAAAGGGCGCGUAGGCGGCCACCGCAAGUCGACUGUGAAAUCUCCGGGCUUAACCCGGAAAGGUCAGCCGAUACUGCGGGGCUAGAGUGCAGAAGGGGCAACUGGAAUUCUCGGUGUAGCGGUGAAAUGCGUAGAUAUCGGGAGGAACACCGGUGGCGAAGGCGGGUCUCUGGGCAAUUCCUGACGCUGAGGCGCGAAAGCGUGGGGAGCAAACGGG
rnacentral:rRNA from 1 species